UACGUAGGUGGCAAGCGUUGUCCGGAUUUAUUGGGUUUAAAGGGUGCGUAGGCGGUUUCAUAAGUCAGUGGUGAAAUACGGCAGCUCAACUGUCGAGGUGCCAUUGAUACUGUGAGACUUGAGUACAGACGAGGUAGGCGGAAUUGACGGUGUAGCGGUGAAAUGCUUAGAUAUCGUCCAGAACACCGAUAGCGAAGGCAGCUUACUAAGGAGUAACUGACGCUGAGGCACGAAAGUGUGGGGAUCAAACAGG
rnacentral:rRNA from 1 species